rnacentral:lncRNA from 1 species
AUCAGUCUUCCCACUGUGCCUCCUGCAAGCACAAGCAGGAUGAAAACAGGAUUCAGGAUGAAAAUAGGCCUGAUCUGGCUCAUUGAAUUGUGCUUGUGUGGGCUGGGACAGGAAUUGGAGGCUAGAGGCAGAGGAGUCGACAGAAGCAGCUUGUGGUAGCACUGCCGUUGAUGGAAAUAUCUGUGACUGGAGUCCUGGUUAUCAGCUGCAUGGGACAGUGUGUCAGCAUCAACUCCAUUUCCUGGUGCUCCAUGUGGCCAAAGAACAAACCUGAAGCAACUUCUCAAGGGCACGCAGCAACUGGUGGAAGAGCUCUGCAGUUGGAUGUCAGAUUUGUUUACCUUAGGCAUCUUCCAUCUUCGCCACCACUGCUGAAUCAGUCUUCCUUUAUGAAGCACGAUGUCCCCUUUGCAGUAGGCUGGAAAUGUGAGACGUGCUUAGGAGCAGUGCCUGGCCUGGGAAAAAGAAAUGCACCCCUCCCACCUAAGUACCACUGCAGUCCAGGUUCUCUUUGUUCUAAAUACAUAUUCUUUUACUGUUUACUAUCCCUUUUCCCCUCUGAGUUGGAACAUUUGUUUAAAAAAGUCUUCUGUUGCUGGGAGCUGAACCAGACACCAUGUCUACUGUAUUGGCUCAGAAUGAGAUUUGAGCAGCAUCUUGCUGCAUGCUCCCUAAGGAUGGGUAAAAGCAAAUGCCAUGAGUAUAAAAAGACGAGGCUUCUGUAAGGUGAGUCUUUC